rnacentral:rRNA from 1 species
AACGUAGGAGGCAAGCGUUAUCCGGAGUUACUGGGCGUAAAGAGUGCGUAGGCGGAUUGAUAAGUGGGUGGUGAAAGCGCCCGGCUAAACCGGGCGAGGUCCAUUCAGACUGUCAGUCUAGAGGCGGAUAGAGGGGUGCGGAAUUCCGGGUGUAGCGGUGAAAUGUGUAGAGAUUCGGAGGAACACCAGUGGUGCAAACGGCGCCCUGGGUCCGAACUGACGCUGAAGCACGAAAGCGUGGGGAGCGAACGGG